rnacentral:rRNA from 1 species
AGCGAACGCUGGCGGCAGGCCUAACACAUGCAAGUCGAACGAACUCUUCGGAGUUAGUGGCGGACGGGUGAGUAACACGUGGGAACGUGCCUUUAGGUUCGGAAUAACUCAGGGAAACUUGUGCUAAUACCGAAUGUGCCCUUCGGGGGAAAGAUUUAUCGCCUUUAGAGCGGCCCGCGUCUGAUUAGCUAGUUGGUGAGGUAAAGGCUCACCAAGGCGACGAUCAGUAGCUGGUCUGAGUGGAUGAUCAGCCACAUUGGGACUGAGACACGGCCCAAACUCCUACGGGAGGCAACAGUGGGGAAUCUUGCGCAAUGGGCGAAAGGCUGACGCAGCCAUGCCGCGUGAAUGAUGAAGGUCUGAGGAUUGUAAAAUUCUUGCACCGUGGACGGUAAUGACGGUACCCGGAGAAGAAGCCCCGGCUAACUUCGUG